UGGCGAAGCGCGGCGGGCAAUUGAAACGUUGGAGGAUGGCGGGGUUGACGCUGCAGGCCGUCGGGGGCUCGCCCAGGGUUUGGGUCCUGCUCAGAAGGCCUCCCUGCUGUGACACGUUAAGAACGACUUAGUGUCUCCCCACUGAAGUCCCCCUCCCCCAUAAUUAGAGCCUGUGGCUGUUUGGCUUGAAGGUACAAAGAGCUCAUCCGCUCCAUGAAGGCAGUGAGGUGUGAAGACACCGUCGGGAGAGAAAGGAGCCAGUUUCUCUAACACCUGUUGCCAUCCUCAAGCUGUCACAACAAAUCCCAACAACAGGGUGCCGGGCGCGUGCCCUGCCCCCUCCAGGCAUGAGCGCUCCGGGACAAGGUCCCCUCCUACCUGCGCGAGUGCGGGACCUCGCCAGUGCCGCCGACACGCUGGUGGUGCCCCUGAGCAGCCUGGCCCGCUGCACCCGCGCCUGCCACUCCCAGCAGCUCCUGAAGAUGUUCUGGCCAGGCGGUGUCCCCGUGGGGAACGACCUCCUUGGUGCUGACCGGUGGGCGGUCGGCGUAGGUGAGGCGCUGCUGGGGCCUGCUCUGGUUCCAGGACCCAUGUCUGCACAGAGAGGGGAGCUCAGGCCCCCUGUCCCGCAGGUGCCCGCGUGAAGCACCGCGUCCUCGCCAGGCAGGCCCUGCGGAUGCUCCAUGAGGACCCGUCCCCAUGCACAGACAAGUGCUGGCGCCUGGCCCAUCCUCCGCGUGCCACUCCCGCGUUGCUGGGCAGAUUGCAGCUCAGAAGGCCAGUGGGGGGCCCUGAAGGCCAUGGCCACCGCUGAGCACCCGUGUCACAAGCACAUGUGAGGGCUCCCUGUGCACCACCUGGGGCAGCAGCCCUGUCCUGGAGCAGAGCAGCCUCCUGACCUCGCAGGCCCUGCAGGUGCCCCCACCCUCCCUCCAGAUGCUAAAGCUCUCCACUUGCCCAGGCACGCCGUCUGGACACCAUGCUGCUCUCAGGGGCACCAGGGCCUGCAUGGGCUCUCCUCGUCUUCUCCAGAGCCUGUCCCAGCGCCCACCCUGCUCUCCACUGCAUUUGGCGGGACUUGCCUGGUAGCCGCCCCACCCUCUGGAGCCUGGUGGAGCACCCUGCCCCCGCCACCCCUCCCAGACCCCCACCCAUACAGCAUCAGGUGCACUGGCCACCUGCCCCAUCCUGUGACCGCCCGCUCCCCACACAUGGCCCCAUGGCCCCUGCUCGUCUCUGACACGUGCACUUCAUUGCAGAUGCUGCUGCAUGUGGCUAACGGCAUCCCGCAGGAGCUGAGGGCACACAUGCAGCCCUCCCUGCCCUCCAGCUUCUUCCACGGCGAGGAAAACUGGGUGCUGAAGCUGUUUCUAGAAGGCCUCUUGCACAAAACCGCCAUCCUCCUGGAUGUGGUGGGCAUGAUUAUGCAGGACCCAAGCAACCAACCAGGAGCCCGCCCUGCGUGAGUCCUGAUGCUCUCGGCCGCCAGCCGCGCAGUCACAGCGUGAGGCCACUCCUUGGCCCAGCUCCUGGUUCAGGCGACAGUCCUGGCCCCAGCAGGCAGGUCUGCGCCGGUCUCCUCUGAUAAAGCAGCAGAGAGCAAGCUGCUCCCAGAACCAGCAGACAGCUAGCCAUGCCUGCCCUGGCCGGCAUUGCUCCACCUCAUCAGAGGACGGUGUGUGCAGUCAGCUGCGAAGCCCAGAAUGCAAGGGGCCCUCCCUGCUCACAGACCCCCCACCAGCGCCGCCUGGCUCUCAGAGGGGAUUCUCAGCAGUCACUGCCCAGAGCUGGGUGCCACUCCAUGUCAGGAGGAGGCUGGGAGCCCGGGUAGGGCCCUGCCUUUGCAUCUAUGGGCCGGAUGCCGGGGCCACGGUAUGCUGGGCAAGGAGACUCGGUCCCCGCCACGAGCAUCUGUCCCCCUCGCCACCCUUAAGGUGCAUAUGCCUUUAAAGAUGCAGACCAGUAGACUCAGUGGCGACACACCGGGCCCUCUGAGUGGCACAGGCCUUAUCAGGAGGGGACCCCGCAUAGCCUGUGGACACAGUGAGACCAGAGCCAGCCACGUGCUGGAAUGUUUCAUGCUUGCGCAGGUGGUAGGCCCUGGGCCCUGACUACAUGAGUGAGCUGCUGUGCCUGUCCCUGAGCUUCGAGGGUCCAGAAACGCAGCCCUUCAGCCUCUUCCUGUCCCACGUGGUGGCAGAAACCUGAGUGGUGUCCCUGGGCAAAGUCGCUCGACCUUCAUUGUCUCUAAAACCUUCAGGAGGCCGCACCUCGGCCACAAACCACCUGUAGCUGAGCAGAUUCGUGUCUGUCGUUUCCCUGGGAAGACACUGGAAUGCCCAGGUGCGGCUGGAGCCCCGACAGCUGUCAGGAUGCACUGCGUUAACCAAGGCCGGUUCCCCAAGACCAGGGCCGUCCGCCCACGACACCCCUGGAGUCAUUCUUUGUGUUUUUGCACACAUGAGUCUAAGAGCCUAAAUUAUUUUUGGAAAUCAUUUUGAAACUUUCAAAGAUUAUGUAAAAGCUA